rnacentral:rRNA from 1 species
UGAUGCAGCCAUGCCGCGUGUAUGAAAGAAGGCCGUUCGGGUUGUAAAAGUACUUUUCAGCAGUGAGGAAGGCGGAGUCGUUAAUAGCGGCCUCGGUUUUGACGUUAGCUGCAGAAGAAGCACCGGCUAACUCCGUGCCAGCAGCCGCGGUAAUACGGAGGGUGCGAGCGUUAAUCGGAAUUACUGGGCGUAAAGCGCAUGCAGGUGGUUUGUUAAGUCAGAUGUGAAAGCCCGGGGCUCAACCUCGGAAUUGCAUUUGAAACUGGCAGAAUAGAGUACUGUAGAGGGGGUAGAAUUUCAGGUGUAGCGGUGAAAAUGCGUAGAGAUCUGAAGGAAUACCGGUGGCGAAGGCGGCCCCCUGGACAGAUACUGACACUCAGAUGCGAAAGCGUGGGGAGCAAACAGGAUUAGAUACCCUGGUAG